rnacentral:tRNA from 1 species
GCAGGCGUGGCGGAAUUGGUAGACGCGCGGGAUUUAGGUUCCCGUGUCAUUUAGAUGUGAGAGUUCGAGUCUCUCCGCCUGUA